AUUGAACGCUGGCGGCAUGCCUUACACAUGCAAGUCGAACGGUAACAGGUCUUCGGAUGCUGACGAGUGGCGAACGGGUGAGUAAUACAUCGGAACGUGCCCGAUCGUGGGGGAUAACUACUCGAAAGAGUGGCUAAUACCGCAUACGAUCUACGGAUGAAAGCAGGGGACCCGCAAGGGCCUUGCGCGGACGGAGCGGCCGAUGGCAGAUUAGGUAGUUGGUGGGAUAAAAGCUUACCAAGCCGACGAUCUGUAGCUGGUCUGAGAGGACGACCAGCCACACUGGGACUGAGACACGGCCCAGACUCCUACGGGAGGCAGCAGUGGGGAAUUUUGGACAAUGGGGGAAACCCUGAUCCAGCAAUGCCGCGUGCAGGAUGAAGGCCUUCGGGUUGUAAACUGCUUUUGUACGGAACGAAAAGGUUCUUUCUAAUAAAGAGAGCCCAUGACGGUACCGUAAGAAUAAGCACCGGCUAACUACGUG
rnacentral:rRNA from 1 species